rnacentral:rRNA from 1 species
UGGGGAAUUUUGGACAAUGGGCGCAAGCCUGAUCCAGCCAUGCCGCGUGCGGGAAGAAGGCCUUCGGGUUGUAAACCGCUUUUGUCAGGGAAGAAAUCUUCUGAGUUAAUACCUCGGGAGGAUGACGGUACCUGAAGAAUAAGCACCGGCUAACUACGUGCCAGCAGCCGCGGUAAUACGUAGGGUGCAAGCGUUAAUCGGAAUUACUGGGCGUAAAGCGUGCGCAGGCGGUUUUGUAAGACAGAGGUGAAAUCCCCGGGCUCAACCUGGGAACUGCCUUUGUGACUGCAAGGCUUGAGUGCGGCAGAGGGGGGAUGGAAUUCCGCGUGUAGCAGUGAAAUGCGUAGAUAUGCGGAGGAACACCGAUGGGCGAAAGGCAAUCCCCCUCGGGCCUGCACUGACGCUCAUGCACGAAAGCGUGGGGAGCAAACAGAUUAGAUACCCCUGGUAGUCCACGCCCU